CAAAUACUCCCUCUGUCCGAAAAAGCUUGUCCCAAACUUGUUCCACAAAUGGAUGUAUUUAGUACAAACUUGGUGCUAGAUACAUCCAUUUGAGGGACAAGCUUUUUCGAACGGAUGGGGUACUAC
rfam:Triticum urartu cultivar G1812 contig959936, whole genome shotgun sequence.